rnacentral:lncRNA from 1 species
GAACGGCUCGGUGCUGGUGCGUGGGGAAGUUUUGUUCCGGGGGGAUGCCCCCAGCAGCUCCCACCUCAUCCGCACGCUGCUCACGGAGGCGAGCAGAGCAGGGGAUGCCUUCAGCUUGGAGAACCUGGACCCGGAGAAGCUGCCCAUCUCUCUCACUGCCCUCCAGCUCGGCCAGGAUGGGGCAGAGCCCCUGGUGAGCGAGGUAAUUCGGGCUCUCAGUGCCCUCUACCCCGUGAGGAACUUCACUGUCGGCCACCUCAGGUACGGGCAGCCCCUCUCCAAAUCUCCCUGCUGAACCCCAU